rnacentral:lncRNA from 1 species
CCGAUCAUAGGAUUAUCAUGAGGAUGAUGAUCGAUUCAGAUAGAAUGGCGCAUAGAUCACUUUCUUUGGGAUAGAUGGGUCUUUAGUCCACAGUGUAAAGACACUGGAUGACGAGUGCGGAUAGUUACUAGAGAACAACUAGCACUAAGUAUGACCAUACAAGAGAUCAUUUGGAUUUCUAUUCAAUCAUCAGUGAUUGUCUCAAUAUUGUAGUUGUGUCAAUGAUUCUUUGACCUGAGAUUCUACUACUACUCACAGUGAGGCUACUGGAGUUUGACUGACAUAUAAAUAUGGGUCUCAAUGAGGCCUUGUAGUAGAUGUUGGCGACAGUUGGUCCACUGUAGGAGCAAGGUGCGCAUCCAAAUGAGAUCUAUCAACCUUGAUAGAGAGGAGUAGUCCUAUAAGAUUUGAAAGGCUAAGUCCAAAAAUCUAUGGUCAUAGUAAUAUGAUUGAUGGAAAAGAGUUUUCAUAGAAAUUAUAAUUGGACUUGAGCUGAUCGAAUCUAUCAUAUGACUGAUGUUGAGGUUCGAUGAUUUAUCCAUGACCUGUCAUCUAUUCGAAACUCAUGAUAGAGGGACUGAAUCACACGUUAACUAUACCUAAAGGUUCAUUUCAGUUUUACUGGAUUGCCACUAUAUACUGUUAGGUGUCACUGAUAGAUUGUGAGAGCUCACCAGGGUUGUUCCGGAUCGAUAAUUCUUAAUGAGUUGGAAUAGAAUUGUUCCUUAACAACCACCUGCACUCUCACUCCAAUAUCUCUAUACCGUAGACUCGAGACUCAUCUGUCCUAAAGGGAGGUAAUCUGUGCACCGAUCUUGAAUGGAUUGAUCACUGUCCUCCAUGAUGAUCUUUCGAUCGAGAAAAUUUAGAAAUUAACCACUAUUGAUGUAUGUCUCAAAUUCUCAACAUCUUAAGAAUAUACAAAAUCAUCUUUGUUAAUUUCUAAAAUAAAUCAUAGACACAUAAGACAUGAUUGGUUAUAAUGAUUGUCCAACAAGUACAAAAUAUAUCCUAGAAAAAUGUAUGUGUCAGCUAAGAUUGACUUCUAAGGCACACAUCCAACAAACUCCCACUUAUACUAAAGCCAAUCUGCCAUAUGCCUGAGCCCCAUCUUCUGAAGAUAGGCUUCAGUGUUUAGCUAGCCAAGUAUCUUGGGCCUACCACUAUUAUGUGGAGUCUGCUCUCUGUAUCUCCAUGUAUUUCUACUUGAGGUAAUCGCAUAUAUCUCUACUCUAUGUACAGAGACUUUUGGUGAGAUCUUGGCUCCUUAGCAAGGGCUAUAGACCAUUAUCUUUGUAGUACAAUGUUAUAGCAUCUAAUAGUAUGACAUCUAGUUCUAAAACUAUCAUAAGAAUCAGAACACAUCCUACACAUCUACAGCAUAUUCAGCUUCCAUUGAUCGAUUGUUUGGAACCCUUCCAACAAAUCGAACCAACAUAACUCAAGAAUACAUGCUGAUGUAGAUAUUCUACGAUCAGCAUCAAUGUAUCCUCCCACUUUUAGCUCUAACCCUUCUUCAAAGAUGAGGAAUAAUCUCUUAGUACUUCUCAAAUACUAAGAGAUAUUUUCACAGCAAUCCAAUGCUCCUAGUUUGGAUUCGACUAAUAUCUACUUGUGACUUUCAUAGCAAGAUAUAUUAAGUCGAGUACAUAGCAUGGCAUUCACCUAUGCCCAAGAGGAUAACGGAUCUCUUUUGAAAGUUUCAAUGCUGAAUCCUUUCAGUACAUCUUCUAUGUACUUGUUUGUAAAAAUCAAACAUCCUUUUAGGAUCUAUCUCUAUAGACCUUUUAUUUUUAGAAUAUUUGAUCUAAAUCUUUGAAAAAAAAUUCUAUAUGUAACCACAUCAUAACCGAUAUCAAUAUGGGACCCUCCCACUGACCUUCAUAUAACUACAUGAUUCCUCAUAUCACAUCGUUAUAGAUUUUGGGAUCAUCCUUAUGUUCCUAAUCUCCCUCGAGAAAUACUUUUUCUGAUUCCUUUGUAAGAAUACGAAGUACCUUUCUAAAGGAUGGGAGAUCCUACUAGAUCUACGAGAUAGAGGAGGUACUAUAUAUACUGGCUCAUCUUAAAUAGAUUGUACAGGUUCUAUUACUCAUUGUUCUUUAGAGAUUUCUCUUUGAGUUCAUCCUCCUACUAUUUUUAAGAAAAUAGUAUGAUUGCUCACAAUCAUAUUGUGAACCACUGGAAAGAGAAAGUGAUAUCUCAAACAUCUUUUGGGAUACCAUAUAAACGAGCUCUCACAGAACUUUCCUCAAACUUGUCCACCAUUUCAUAUCUCACAUGGUAUGGUGAAACCAACUUUAGAAGAAACCUAAUUUAAAUUUUAGAAAUUAAAUCUUGUUUCUAAAGAAACAAUAGUUAAAUUAGUGACGUUCAUGAUGGAUCGGACCAUAUCUCAUACAGUGCCAUUGUACCUCACAGAUACAUCGUUGAGUUGAGGUGUACAAGAAGAAUUCCAUCAUGAAACUAUGUCAUUCUCUUUAGAUAAUCGAUAAUUUUUUUAAUUUGGUA